AACAUCGCGCACCUGCGGGAACCUGCGGAGGGAUCAUUACUGAACGAGUUCGUGCGCUGGCAGCACUGCCGGUGGAUAUGUACAGUGGCGGGGACAAGCUGGUCCCCGGAGGUGGUUCGACGCUUUUCCGUCGCGUACAUAUAUGCCCAGGCGAACAAAAUACACGUGUCAAGCUUACGUCGAACAGCGCUGAGCGCAGCUGAUUGGAGAGAUGGCCCUGUUGACGGUGCUGUGCGUCCC
rnacentral:misc_RNA from 1 species